rnacentral:lncRNA from 1 species
CAGUGCUGAAGUGAGCAUCACUUACUGGCUCUGGUCAUAUUCCUGCACGAUUCAUGGGUUUCCCAGCGGGCUGGGAGGAAGAAGAGUUUUCUCUCUCCUUUGCUGGUAGCUUCCUCUCAAGAAUCCUCCCCUUGGACUGGAUCAGUUCGCUGGAGCCUCCCUCCUGGUGGCAGGAGUCUUUUUGCACCAAAGCCUGGAAUUUCCUGAAAGACCCAUUAACUCUUUACUAGGAAGCAUCAACAGAUAAUUCAUGCUUGAGGUCCCAGAGGUUGGGGAAUGUUUUGGAGAUACGUUUUUGACUGGAGUUCCACUCUGACCUUUCUUGCCGAAUGAAACUUCAGCUACACCUAGAGCGAGCUGAUGAAAAUCGGGAGGAAAGGGGGCGAAGGAAGAACCCAACUCACUGACUCAGUUCUAACUCUCACCACUUAAUCACUUCCAGUAGCAAUUGAAGUUUCAAUGCAAAUACCCCCAAGCAGCCGGCUUUGGUAUUUCCAGGCCCCACGUGAAGGUCUUCAAAUUGCUCAGACUGGAGUUUGUUCCCUCUUUAAAGAAAAACCCUUCUUUCUGGAAGUGACUUGGUACAUGUACCUAUAAAGGAAAUUCAUCCUGAGGCUGAGGCAGGCAGAAGGAAUCAAGGAACUCAAUUCAAGGAAGUUGCCGACGUGACUUUUAUUUCCCUCUUCUGUCACUUCCCUCUUUCCCAAGGCUUCCUCACUUCUACCUGUCCUGACAGGACCUUUAGAGUCUUGGAGGAAAUCAAAGUGUCUUAAAGGCUCCUGGUCUGCUGAACUGUUUUCUUUGAAAAUUUUGGUUCUUGUUUGCUUAGAAAUUCGAGGAAGACUUUCUCUAGACUAGAAUGUUUGGGUUCUAAAGUUUUUCUUUAGGGAACUCCAGGCUUCAGCCACCCAAACCAACGGCACAAAGGAAAACGAGUAGGUGUAAAAGAAAAAGAAAAAAAAAGAGAUGAAGAAUUGGAAGGAAAUCCAGAGGGUAAGAAACUGGGGCCAGCUACCUCCUGAUGUAUGCAGACAAUGGAAUCCACUCUGAAAGCUGAAUGAAGUCUGGAGAGCUGGGAGGCUGGGCCCAAGUGGGUCAGAAAAGGCCCCUCUGCUCCGUGAGCAUGGAAGGUGAUGCCUCUUCACAAAAGCAAGACCCCAAGAAGGCUGCACAAGAGUGGUCCACAUCCCUUUGUCCUGUUUCUCCAGCCCACCAGUACACAACUGGAGUGAUUUGUACAUUCGACACUAUUCCAGAGGGGAAAAGAGGCACAUCUGACUGAGACGUACUAAGGGCAUCAUUCCCAAAUGGGGAGCCAAUUUCCAACCUUUGUCCUUUGGGAUCAGAGAUGGAUCUUUCUCCCUCAAGCCCUCUUAUCUCUUCUCUGUGUUGGCAGAGGCACUGAACCUAACUGGCAUCCACGUGUUAGAUCAUGUAACACCUGUGUUCAGGUGCCCCGGGAUGGACAAAGAAUUUCAGUGAGGGGCCUGGAGCACCGGAGCGAAGACAGGACAGUAGAGGGGCCACCACAGUGCUCAGCUCUAGAUGACUGUGGCUGCUGGAGGGGGACAGAGCUGGCUUUGACCAGACAGUUCAGUUGAUAGUGAUACUCUUUGCAUAUGAAAGAUCCAUGAGGUGUUGGCUCCUUUUUUUGGUCUGAGAGGAAGGUGAACAUCUUAUUCUCUUUGACAUUUUUUUGUAGGUCAGGAAAGGAAUAAUAUAAUAGUAAUGUUUUCCUAGGUGUGAGCCGGAGAACAUGAGGUGUAUUGAUACACCAUUCUGUACUUUAUAGAGCGCCAAAAACUUUCCUUUACUCCUCUAUCUAGGCAAGAGAUGUAUUUUACAGAUAAAAACUUUGAAAGCAUCUACACCCAAACUUCACAAGUUUCCGAUUUCUUGUGAAAUCACUUGCUUCUCUAGAAUCAUUCAGUAGCAUUAGAUAGGGCUGAUGAAAAGGCUCUUCCAGUCUUUAUAAUCAAUUUGGUACUGCCACUAGGAACAAAACAGGCUGCUUUGCAGGUGGAUGGCAUUUCAAAAAUGUUAGCCACCUGAAGGCAAGCGUGUAUUCGCUAAGCUAACCACCUGCCUGUCCUGCAAGGUGAUCCUGACCAGGACAUUCUUUCUGGUCUUGUUCCUUCCCGUGUGAAAUACAGGAUGUUGUGCAACAGUUUGCAUUUUUCUUUAGCACUCUGUGCCUGGCACUCUGCUGUGCUUGUUACGUGGAUUGUCUUGUACAAUUUACCAAUGGCCGAGUUUUAUCAUCAGGGAAACAAAGGUGCAGAGGUGGGCACCUGCUAACACAUUAGUGGGGGGUCCUGUUCCCCAGCCCAUGUCCUCAGGAACUUCUAGUAUCAAAAUAUGAGUACAACUAACUCCUCUUGGCUAAAGCUUCCUAAAGCAGAAGUAAGGUCCUGGCUGAAUUUAAACCAGGAAGAUGAAAGCAAGCGACAAUGAAGAGCCUUCCAGCUGUAGGCCAACCAACUUGCUGCCACCCCAAGCCUGAAACUGGUGUUUCCUAUCACCUUGCAACAGCCUCCCCUCCCACGCACUGGGCCUGGGGCUGCCUGCAAAGCCUGGCCGGGAGGCUGGUGUAGACGGUGUGAGAAGCUGUUCUCUGAAAGAGUUCCGUGGUUGGCUGUGGUAAAUGCUCCCACACAAUUCUCCACCUCCACCUCCACUUGGGGUUCGAAUGACUCUCAGUGUAGGAGUCCCACAGCUGCCCGAAGAAGACAGUGAUCAGAAUUCUGUUUGUAAAAAUCCAUUUAAUAAAUAUACAUCUUAGAAGUACCAAAAUAAUUACCAACAAAAUACAUUAUGUACAGUAUUUACAGCAGGGUAACACAAACCUUGACAGGUCGUGACUUUUAACCCCACCCCACUGACAGGUUUAACAACACACCUGAUUCUAACAUUUCCCAGAUACACCUGGGCUCCACCACGGACUCCAUGGUGGUUCAACCAAGAAGCGCAAUAAAUAAAAGAGUCCCAUCAAAUUAGGGAUAACCUUUCCCCCAGGCCCCACCAAGGUGCCGUUUAAAAGAGGUUCUCUCUGCAUUCCGAUGAUCCUCCUUGGCGCCUUUCCAAAGUUCACAAGAAUAACAAAAUCGGGGCUAAUCCACCAGAGCAAAAUGUUUCAGGCCAGGCAGUGUGCGGUGUGGUUAUAAGUAUACCCUUUUUUCUUUUUUUUUCUUUUUUUCUUUUUUUUUAGAAAAAUAAAACUCUUGAUUUUGUAC